GCAACGGAUAUCUCGGCUCUCGCAUCGAUGAAGAACGUAGCGAAAUGCGAUACUUGGUGUGAAUUGCAGAAUCCCGUGAACCAUCGAGUCUUUGAACGCAAGUUGCGCCCAAAGCCUUCGGGCCAAGGGCACGUCUGCCUGGGCGUCACG
rnacentral:rRNA from 1 species